rnacentral:tRNA from 1 species
CCUGUAGCUAAAUGGUAAAGAAUCUGCCUGCAACACAGAAGGCCCGGGUUCGAUCCCUGGGUCAGGA